rnacentral:tRNA from 1 species
GGAGGUGCACGGGUGCUGGUGUGCCUGCUGGACUUCAAAUCCAGGUAUUCUGAGUAAUCUCAGAAUGGUAGGUUCGAUUCCUACGCGCCUCC